AGUCUUGGCUUGUUGUCGCAUUUUGGUGUUGAACUCAACGUAGGGUUUCAUGAAAGCCUCUUGUUGGAACUCUAAUACUUUAUGUAUUUUUUCAAUUUUAGACCGAGUUGGAGAUACAGUUGCAGGUUGCGAUAGUGAAGUACAUAAUUCUGUUUGUUUUCUAAAGUGAAGGUUGACUGUUUUGUAAACUUCCAUCACAUUUAGAGAGUAGAAAUACAAUGGGGGUUUGAUGUGGAAAGAUGUCUGUACGAAGUUUAUAUAACGGGUUAGAAUGUGGACUUACAUCCACCAGAAGCUUGGGGAUGUCUCGCCAGAACUUAGACAGAAUGCUGGAGAACUACGAUACAACUUCACAUUAACAUCCACUUGGUUUAACAGAUCGAGAUAGUCCAUCGAAUUCUGACCACUGAUUUGAAACUCAAUGGGAGUAUCAUCCGACACUUGGGAUAUUGGACGAAUCUCUUGAUAAUGGACAUCAUUCACCGCAACUUGUGUAGGAGAUCAUCCGGGGAUAUCGCCAUAUUGAAAACCCGCCAGAGGUUCGGUCCACGUCCAUGGUGCUCGGGAUGAGUCAUUGGAGGACGAAGAUCGGGUGUCCUUAUGCUGCCAUGAAAUGUCGUUUUUAUGAUGUCCAAUUAUGUUCAAAAAUAAACAACUUGGAGAAUGUG